rnacentral:rRNA from 1 species
UUAAACCUGGCGAACGGGUGAGUAACGCGUAGACAACUUGCCCAGAGAUUUGGGAUAACAUCGAGAAAUUGAUGCUAAUACCGAAUAAUAUCACGGACACCCCCGGUGUCUGUGAUCAAAGGUGGCUUCGGCUACCGUCUUUGGAUGGGGUCUGCGUCUGAUUAGCUUGUUGGUGAGGUAAUGGCUCACCAAGGCAACGAUCAGUAGCUGGUCUGAGAGGAUGAUCAGCCACACUGGGACUGAGAUACGGCCCAGACUCC